rnacentral:rRNA from 1 species
CCUACGGGAGGCAGCAGUCGGGAAUUUUGCGCAAUGGGCUAACGCCUGACGCAGCAACGCCGCGUGGAGGAUGAAGGUCCUUGGAUUGUAAACUCCUGUCAGCAGGGAAAAAGCAACUUAACCUAAUACGCUAGGGAGUUGAUUGUACCUGCAGAGGAAGCCCCGGCUAACUCUGUGCCAGCAGCCGCGGUAAU